rnacentral:lncRNA from 1 species
UCAUCUCCCUCUUCUCUCAGAAUCUCUCAACCUAAUCCUAAUUAUAAGAGUUGUCACCAGCAUAAACCUCCACCUUAUGAUGUUUUCAUGGCUUCUCCGACCAGCCCUAGCCUUCUACACGCCAUGGCUCUUUGAUUUUUUAGAUCCUUGAGUAUUCAAAGAACCUAGUUGGUUCUGGUUUGAAGUUUUGUUUAUUAGCCUGUCUCAGGCCACUCGACUGUGAGUAAGAACCUCUCUUUAUUUUAUUACAAAUCUAUAGGUUCUUGACAUAUUCUCUCAUCUCUACUACUUUUCUGUAAAACUCUAGUCUGGUAGUAUUGAUCCUUCUCAAAUCUGUAUAGAUAUGGGGUGAUUCGAGCGCUAUUAUGUGUUUUCCUUUUAAAUUUUUUGGGUUAAUUAAUUAUUCCGACUUUCAUCGCUAUUCCUGAACUGGGGUUCAUCCCAAAUUAUUUUUCAAAGGUCUUUCUGACUUAUAAGUGUUUAAUUAAUUAUUCUUUCACCUUCUUGACUAUUUUUUGCAAGAGUAUUCGAACCCUAGUUGAUUCUAUGUAAUAUACUUAUUUUUGCAAUCUUUACUUCGAUUCUGGGUACUUUAUGUAUUACCUUGCUCUAUUUCUUGGACUUAAACAUUUUUUCAUUGUUGAAUCCAUUAUUCUGUUUUUUUGCCCUAAUAAAUCUCUAUUAGGGCUAGAAUCUGUGUUUUCGACUAAUUUCUAUGUUUCUUUGAUGUUUUACUUAGUCUAUUUAUGGAAGUUGAUAUCUAUUUCGAGAAAUCAGUAUUAUUUUUGAAAGUUUGGUUGAUUGAUUUGCUCUGGUAAAGAUUCGUGUGCAUAAUUCUUAUUUUUUCCUUGUUUACGACCUUAAUUGGUCACUUCUGCCUUAUUUGAUUGCCUGUAUAAUUGUAGAUUCUUACUAAUUCCUUUACAUGGUAUAAUUGGGAUUCUUUUCUUAAUUAGUCCCAUGUUAUUACCAUUUAAUCAAUUGCCCUUGAUUAAAGGAGUCUAUUCUGAACUCCUUUUGCGAUUGAAUUCAGUGACUUUCUUAAUUGACGGAAUGAUGAUUCCUUUACCUUGUUUGUUCCACUCCUAUAUUGCUAUAUAAACACUCUUAUUUUACCUCUCAACACACGCACUAAGUUCAGAAUACACACACAUAUUCAAACUCUCUCUUCUUUCUCUGUUACUUGUGCUAACUAUUGGUCUAGCCGGCUGAAAAUCAAGGAUAGACAUUGGAAUUACAUUUGCUUUACAUUCUGCACUUUGCUUCUCUAACUGGUAUGUCUCCAGUUCCAUUCUGAAACUCAAACUCUAUGUGUUCCAUGUUUUGCACUAGUUUGAUUUGCGAAGUAUUUACUUUAUCUUCCUGUUUACUGCAUUACUCAGCAUAUCUAAAUUUUGUCCUCCUUUGGUCAAAUGUGCAAUCACUACAUCUGGGUCUUACUUGUAUGUUUGAUACUUGUCCAACAUGUUUAUUUAUCCUAUAUUUACUCUCUUCAAUUGGUGUGAUCAUGUCGAUAACUUACUUGUCUAAUUUACUUGGUUGAUCCUAAUUAGUAUACACUUUGCCUUCAACAUGACUAUUUCACUACAUUCUAUGCCUAUGCCUUAGUUACUUCUUAUCAUGGCUAACUUGUUAAGUCUCUGAAAUAGUAGAUUCAUGUUUGUUAUAUACAGUUGUUGCUCCAUAUGCUUCCCCUAAACUUUGUUUAUGUGUUUGAACUCUCUAUGUUCCCAACCCCCUUGACCCCUGUUUGUAAAGUUGAUUGCUGAGUGAUUGUGAGUCUCAUCACUCUAUGUUUGUGUAACUAUAUGUUUGUUCUUUUCAGAAUUGAUUUCAAGACUGUUUUUACCCCUAGCAUCUUCCUGAAAACUGUUUCUAUUCCUGAAAAUCUUUUCACUUCUAAAAUUGUCUCUACACUAUUUUACUAAGUCUUUCAAAACUAUGUCAAGCACUUUCACUUAACUCUUAGACUAUUAGGUUAUGCCCCUCUGGUGUGUGUACUGCUUAGGUAUCCUUGAUUUUCCUAUGAACUUUGGCACACCAGGGUUGGACCUUCCACACUGCACAUAACCGAUCCUCUAUUUGAGAAAAGGUCUUGGUGUGAGCACUACCCAGGAUCUUUGAGGUCCUUAUGGAACUUUGAUACACCAAGACACUCUAUUGGUUGUGAGAUUCUUGGCAUCUGCGACUAUUUUUGAAGGCCUGAUGUAAGCACGUGAAUUUUGCCCUACAUGAAGAUAACUCCUAAAAAUAAGUCAAAAUAACUUUUUAUUGAUUUUUAGGAAGUUUUUCUUUUUUAGUCGCAUUUCAUGCAUUUUAUAUUUUUAAAAU